UUGUCCAGUAGCCUCAGUCUGCGACGCAGACCGAGGAAUUUCCAAAGCAACAAGAGCCUCACACUACUUAUCUUCGAAAGCGAAAUGCCUCAAGCAAUCCACAACCAAAUUCCCUUCUUGUGGAAAAUCUCACCCCUUGUUGUCCAGUAGCCUCAGUCUGCGACGCAGACCAAGGAAUCUCCAAAGCAACAAUCUUUCUUUCGCUUUCUCGUAAACAAGGCUAGGCUAGCUGUGGAGGAGGAAGGUGGUGAUGUAAGAGGUGUUACCAAAGGUGAAAAUUCCAAGUUGAUAUCUCCCGUCCAGUUUCUUUUACUGUAAAAAUCGUGUACGAGGCCCGAAUAGCCACAGUGGAUUGUGAUAUUUGCCACAUUAGUGUAGAUGUGAAAUUGAUAGUUGGUUUCAUGUCAGUUAUUGCGUACUUGUUAGUUGGAAGACUUGCUAGUAAAGAUUUGGUAGCGAAGGAUUGCAAGUAACAUGGUGACAUUGAUCAAAUAAUAAUGGAGGUGCUUCCUCUUGUGCUUAUUCCAACUCCAAAAGUAAGAAGACUUAAUAUUAAGGAUUAAAUUAUGUUUAGUCCCUGUACUAUGACCUUUUUUUCGUUUCAAUCUCUGACAUUCUCAAUUAAUCUGAAAAGUCCCUAACAUUACAAUUUUCGUCUGAUCGGUACACUCCGUCAAUUCGGGCCGUUAACUUGCUGAUGUGGCACUCCAAGCCACACCACCUCAACAGUGUGCAUGCCACUUGACCUGUAAAUUGUCCAAUAUAUCUCCCAUGCAUUUUCCCCAUUCUUCACCAAAAAAUAACUCCAAAAUGAUUCAAUUUUUCUCUCCAAACCCCCAGCAGGCUAGCAUACCAAAACAGAUGCUUAAAUGCAACUAUGAUUUCAUCAUUUCAAAGCAACUACUGAAGCCAAUUGAUACAAACACACAUAUAGUAAUAACAAGACAAGACUGAACAAAUUAACACACUCUGUAAAACAUAUGCAAAUUAACACACUCUACAAAACAGAUGCAAAUUAACAUACUUUGCAGAAAAGAUAUAAGACAAAGGCAAAACAAAUUUCAUUUACAAUUUUCAUCUCAUAUACAAGGCAAAACAGAUGCAAUUCGAACCUAGAAAUCGAACCAAGGGCGCAAGGCAGCAACUGACCAAGCUUGAAGAAUCCGAAAUUGAAAAGUCGAAAGCUGAAAUCGAACCUAGAAAUCUUCAUAAGCCUUGAGGACGUCUAUGCUUUGCUGCUUCACCUGCUUGAGUUCGAGGCGAUUGAAGACUGAAAAUUGAAUACCCAGAAGCGACUGUUCUUGAAUUAUGAUCACAUAUAUGAAUCAUCCAUCACUCUUUACAAUACUUUCAUCAUCUUGAUAAAACAAACAAACAAAACCAAACUACACUAACAAUCACAGAAACUGACCCAAAAUCACACCACAACAACAAAUUGAAUGCUUAUUUCACUCACAGAAAUACGAAAAACAACUUAAAGGUUCGAAAUUUAUUGGGAAUUUUACUUACAGAAGCUGAAUUGUAGCUGAAAAACCCAAGCUUUAUGAAGAUUUGGAGCAGAAUCGGACGAAUUAGAGCAAUGAAACGCCCCCUAUUUUCGAGAAAUCGAAGAAAUUGGGAACCAAAGCCGAACCAAAUGUAAAAUUGAUGGAGAAAUUGACCUCCGAAUGUAAAAUUGAUUCGAAAACUGAAAUCUUCGGUGGCUGCAAGGACCCCAACCAAAACACCGGAAUCUCUAUCCUCAACUGCAAGGUCACCUCAGACCUCCUUCCGGUCAAAUCCACAUUCAGACCACUGUUCUUUCCGAUCUUGAACCUCUCCUCAAACCUCUUCUUGGUCUCCUUCAAGGAGGUGACUUUCUUUUCCUCGUUGGUGAGCACGUCCGGGUGACGACCUCGAGAUCAACGUCGAGAGUGUAGAGUGUGGCAGAGGAUCACGGCCCUAAAGGAGGAACACGGCCCUUGCGACCGCCGUAGGGACCCUGAAGGAGGAUCACGACCUUGUUUGGCUUCAAAAAUUUGACCAUGGCGAUAGCGCUCCUCCCUCUCUCUAAGCUCAGAAAGCUCCAUUGAUUUGGUGUGAGGAAGAACAUGUUGCAGCAAGAAAAACAAUAGAGUAGAAUAAAAAAAAAAUUAAAAAGUUAAAAGGGGAGGGCUAUUCUUGACAUUUUACCAUCCAUGGACUUACGUGGCGCUGAGUUGGCGUUUAAAUUUGUGCCACGUCAGCCAAUUAACGGAGCAAUUGGACGGAGUGGACUAAUUGAAAGGAAAUUGUGAGAUCAUGGACUUUAUAGAUUAAAUUAAAAUGUCAGGGACCGAAACGAUAUUGGAGGCAAAGUACAGGGACUAAACAUAAUUUAAUCAUAAUAUUAAAGAGCUGGACGACUUUUCUCUUCACGUAGGUGUCUGUCUAUUUUUGUUGAAAAGUUUGUCUCCAACUACAAGUAGUUGGUCACGAUAAGGCCUUAUGGUGUUGAGUUAAAUUUGCGUAGUCUAUUUUAGAUGCCAUAAUAAGUAUGAUUUUGGUUAAAUAAGAUUGGUGAAGUCUUGGCUAUUCCAAUGUUUCCAUUUUUAUUAAUUCAGGCUAUUUUAAAAAAUAGAAAAUUGUAUAACUUAUCUAGAAAAAGACAUCACCCUAGACUGGUACCAAUUGCGUUUGUGAAGCGAAAGUACCAAUAUAACCUCAUCAGAUUGGUGAAGUCUUGGCUAUUCCCCUUCAUAUUUUCGCGCUCGAUCUGGGAAAUAUAACCUCAUCAGUUGUAUUUUGCAGAAUGUUUCCAUUGCGUUUGUGAAGCGAAAGUACCAAUAUAACCUCAUCAGUUGUCUCCCUCACAUAACGCCCCACCUCCUGAUUUCAGCACAAAUAAAAAACAAAACCCCAAACCCCCAAUUCACAGCGAAACGCCGCCGUUUCCCACUCCAAAAUUCGUUUGCCGAAGUAUAGAAAUUGGUAUCUGGAGGAAUGCUGUUCUCUGGAGCUCAAACUUUGUAGCUUUAUUGGGGGUAUCAUCACUUCAGAGAUAUGCAAGUGAAUCUCCAAAACCAUUCUGUAAAACCAGAAAAUUGAUCUUCUUUGUUUAGGAUAUAUAGGCGACAACAGAGCAGUUGAUGAUUUUGACGAGCAGACUUGGAGCAGUUUUGGUAUGUUAGUUUAGACCACCCCACCCUCUGAAUUAUAGAUGGGAGUUCUACUAGAAAUUCUGAUAACCUAUUAUUUCCCAUUUGGACAUUUGAACUAAAUGUGUAGGAAAUUUUGACAGUGAAAAGAGUUUUGUUAUAACAAAUGUGCUAUUAUUCUUCGCUUUCCAAAUGAUGUCUUUCUUAUAUCAUGGGCAACUCUUCUGUUGCAUUCGAUAGAAACAAGCUUCAUAAGCUAUAUAGUAUAUUGGUGACAAGUAAUGCUAGGAAUACCAUAUAUAGGCAUAUAGAUUGAAUUGUAAUGUGAUUUGAAAAUGGCACUGCAAGUAAUAUUGCAUUUUAUUGGUUUUCCUUACAAUCCAGUACAAAUAUAUAAUGUAAUACACUUACCGUUCGUGAUUCUGACCAGAUUGCUUUCAUUUCUUUGAAAUGAUGCUCAUCAUCUCCCACUUGGGUUGUUUAUCUAAGAGAAGAUAGUCUCUUGAGCAAAAGUGAGACAUGAUCCAAGACUCUGCUCUUUUAUUACUUUAGAAUCUCGGCGAACCAACCAGUUAAAGAGAAUAGACGUCCUUGCAGUUAUAUUAGACUCGGAGUUUAAUCUUGGGAAGUCUUUUCCAUUUUCUUGUUCAAUUUUCAGACAGAAUCCCUUUUACAUUGUCUCCACAGCUUCAUCAUCUGCAAUAAGAGAAGCAUUGAAAUUGUUGAGAAGGGUACAAGCGAGUGAACUUUUGGCGGGUAGUUAGGGGAAUGCUGUAAGUAAAUUCAGAGCGUGAAAUAGGGGGCAACUCUGUGGCCACGAUCAGCAUGUCCAUGUGCUGAAACAAGAAAAGGUAGAGAUUAAGCUUUUGCAGCUGGAGAUGAUCUUUGCACGAUGAUGGGGUGGAGAGGAAAAGAGAACGAAGCUGCUCAUGGAUAAUUGGAUAUGUGUGGUUGUGUUUCUCUCUAAUCUACUGAUUGGAAUUUCUUGAGCAGAAGUAGGAAUGAUCACCAGUCAAUGGGUGGAUAGACUUUGACAAGUAGUACUGCUCUCUUUUCAAUUGCGUUAUUUAGUCCUUGCAAUUGGGAAAUGUCUUCAUGCAUAAAUUAUUAGUCCAAUCAAAAUAGA